ACUAUGGCUGCUUUGCCCGGUGAGCUGAGCCCGCAGGACCGGCCCUGCUCACAGGCAUGUGUCCGCACGGGGACACUCAGGACACCGGGCGGUCGGGACGCAGCGAGGUGCCAGGCCUCGUUGUGGUCACAACACUCCGGCGCUCCCCACUGGGCAGCCUGACCUCCAGCACCGGCUCCAUCAGUGUUCCCAACUCAACAGCCAGGCUGUGACCAUGGCAAUGGUUUGGACCAAAACUCGAGGUUAAAGCUUUAAAAAUAAAAAAAAAUCCUCACCGGA